rnacentral:rRNA from 1 species
UACGUAGGGUGCGAGCGUUGUCCGGAAUUACUAGGCGUAAAGAGCUCGUAGGUGGUUUUGUCGCGUUGUCCGUGAAAACUCACAACUCAAUUGUGGGCGUGCGGGCGAUACGGGCAGACUGGAGUACUGCAGGGGGAGACUGGAAUUCCUGGUGUAGCGGUGGAAUGCGCAGAUAUCAGGAGGAACACCGGUGGCGAAGGCGGGUCUCUGGGCAGUAACUGACGCUGAGGAGCGAAAGCGUGGGGAGCGAACAGG